rnacentral:lncRNA from 12 species
GGGGGGGGGGGGGGGGGGGGGGGGGGGGGGGGGGGGGGGGGGGGGGGGGGGGGGGGGGGGGGGGGGGCCCGCCCGCAGGUGCCUCAGCGCCAGGUGCCUGCCACGGCCCACCUCUGAGGGAAAAGAAACAGCCGGGAUUCGUGGGAAGCAAGGAAGAAAGUCUGAGGGCCCGCUAACGACCGGAAAGUUUUGCUAGUAAAUUGCACAAUUGGCGUGGGAAUUGGUGUGUUAGUCCCUGGCCUAAUGUAUAAGCACACGGCAGUGGGUUUUGGAAAAAGGGGUAAGAUGAGAAGGAAGAGAGAAAAAAAGAGAUGUAUUAAAAAACGUGGGGGGAUGUGGGGCAGGGGAGAGAAAGAAAGGAAAAAACGGGAAGAAAGGGAGAAAAAGGGAUCGCCAGUCCUGAUCCCAGUGUCAGUCCAUCUGGUGGGAUGUCAGUCCUGGUUUCAGCACCGAUCCAGUUGAUAAUCCUGGUUUCAGCGUCCAUCCGGCUGCAUCCAUCUGGCCGAUGUGAUGUCCAGGGUCCUGGGGGUGCCUCUGUGCCUCCCCCAGCCCAAAGAGGCUCCGAGGAUGCAGCGCACAUGUGGCUAUCAGUCAUCGCGGAACGAGCGGGACCCCAGGCCACCUCUUCAAGGCAGCUAAGGCUGUCUUGGGUGAGGCAUGAGAAAACAGGGACAUCAUGGGCAGGCAUUCAGAAGACUGCAGCAAAGAUCAGCAUAGCUUCAAAACCACUCAGCCUCCGAACACACCGCAGGAGCGAAGAGUAGUAAACACGCACAGUCGGUGCUGCCCUGGCCCCGGGGAGCAGCCCCGUCUGCCCCGUGAAAGCAUGGAAAGCACACGCAGGAUACACCCGGUAUCAGUGCAGUUAAGCCCAAGGGCAAUAGAAAAACCACCCUCUCUGUAUGCUCGUAUCAAUUAGUAUUUUUAAUGUUUCUUAAAACGCGUGGAAGGAAUGCAGCCGCCCCCUGCUGCCAGCUGGCAUCUCCUCGGCUUACCCGGAGCCUUGGCACCAGCAGCCAGCGAACAGUGUGUUUAAAUCUGUGCUGCUGCGUGCUCCUCACCUGGCUCUGAUCUGCUCCCAGCACGAGGAUUUCCCCACGCUGGAUGGCCAGGCCAAAGGAGUGCUCUGGCUCCGGUGUUACAUAGCGGACACAAGGAAAAACGUGGAAGUCCCCCACCCUUGCCAAAAGAGGUCAUCCUAGGGGACAGAGGAAAGAUCAUCUGGCCCAAGCAGAGGACCCCUUGAAUGCUCUGGUUGAGGUCCGUCAUGAAGAAAAAUAUUUUCUGAGUCAUUUUGUUUCCAUCUGCAACCACUCUUUGCCCAGUAUGGGGUUUCCUCCACCCCUUACACAGCAUACAGCACAGCUGUUAACUGCAGCCUUCCAUCCUCUUCACAUGUGA